AUGACGAUACCGUUUGUAAGCUCCGGCUAACUCCGUGCCAGCAGCCGCGGUAAUACGGGGGGAGCAAGCGUUGUUUGGAUUUACUGGGCGUAAAGGGCGCGUAGGCGGCCAGUGCAAGUCAGUUGUGAAAUCUCCGGGCUUAACCCGGAAAGGUCAACUGAUACUGCUCGGCUAGAGUGCGGAAGGGGCAACUGGAAUUCUUGGUGUAGCGGUGAAAUGCGUAGAUAUCAUGAGGAACACCUGCGGCGAAGGCGGGUUGCUGGGCCGACACUGACGCUGAAGCGCGAAAGCUAGGGGAGCGAACGGGAUUAGAUACCCCGGUAGUCCUAGCCCUAAACGAUGAAUGCUUGGUGUCUGGGGUUUUAUAGUCCCCGGGUGCCGUCGCUAACGCUUUAAGCAUUCCGCCUGGGGAGUACGGUCGCAAGACUGAAACUCAAAGGAAUUGACGGGGACCCGCACAAGCGGUGGAGCAUGUGGUUUAAUUCGACGCAACGCGAAGAACCUUACCUGGGCUAGAAUGCUUCUGACAGCCCCAGAGAUGGGGUCUCUUGGGUAAAACCAGGCAGAGUGCAAGGUGCUGCAUGG
rnacentral:rRNA from 1 species